UUUAAUUGUGUCACGUAACUUUUUGCUAGCUGGCUGCAACAAAUUGGAUAGAAGGAUGCACUGGUGACUGGGCGACUACCAAAGAUGCAACGCAAGCGUUUAUAUUCCAUUGGGAAAUGCGUAUGCAAAAGGUGCAUAUUAAAUAAUGCGGGCUCCACACACUAUAUGAAAUAUACAGCUUUAUUCAAUUUGCUUUGCUUUUUAAUACAAGUAUGUAAUUAAUUUUAUGUUCAUAUAAAAAAAAGAAACAAUUAUUUUA